AGCUAUUGCAGGUCUGAUGAAGCAGAGAUGAGACUCACAGAAGACAGCUGCUGCUUUGCCCUGUGACCGAGGUCCUCCGCAAUCAUUGCUGCUCUGCUUACAGAAUUAUUAUCAUGGUGAAAGGAAAGAGUGCUUUCCAAAGUGUGAAGAGUUAUGUAGUGAUUGUUUAUCCCUUCCAUGUGGGCUGGGAGUAGUCAGGGAGGGUCAAUUUGCUGUCCACAUUCAGCAUAAAAAUAGCUCCAAUGUGCUAAAAAUAUUUGUCAUCCACACAGAGAAAUCUGCAAGUCCUCACCACGGAGCCUUGAAAAGGAGGUCACAGAAAUAUCUGGAGCAAAGGACUUCCUCUCACUUGUCUCACCUAAUAGCAAUCUUAGAAUAAGGGUUUCUCAC
rnacentral:lncRNA from 1 species